rnacentral:rRNA from 1 species
AUGAACGCUAGCGACAGGCUUAACACAUGCAAGUCGAGGGGCAGCAUGAACUUAGCUUGCUAAGUUUGAUGGCGACCGGCGCACGGGUGAGUAACGCGUAUGCAACUUACCUAUCAGAGGAGAAUAGCUCAUCGAAAGAUGAAUUAAUGCUCCAUAAAACAGGGGUCCCGCAUGGGAAUAUUUGUUAAAGAUUCAUCGCUGAUAGAUAGGCAUGCGUUCCAUUAGGCAGUUGGCGGGGUAACGGCCCACCAAACCGACGAUGGAUAGGGGUUCUGAGAGGAAGGUCCCCCACAUUGGUACUGAGACACGGACCAAACUCCUACGGGAGGCAGCAGUGAGGAAUAUUGGUCAAUGGCCGAGAGGCUGAACCAGCCAAGUCGCGUGAAGGAAGAAGGAUCUAUGGUUUGUAAACUUCUUUUAUACGGGAAUAAAGUGUGGAACGUGUUCCAUUUUGUAUGUACCGUAUGAAUAAGCAUCGGCUAACUCCGUGCCAGCAGCCGCGGUAAUACGGAGGAUGCGAGCGUUAUCCGGAUUUAUUGGGUUUAAAGGGUGCGUAGGUGGUCUUUUAAGUCAGCGGUGAAAGUUUGUGGCUCAACCAUAAAAUUGCCAUUGAAACUGGGAGACUUGAGUAUGUUUGAGGUAGGCGGAAUGCGUGGUGUAGCGGUGAAAUGCAUAGAUAUCACGCAGAACUCCGAUUGCGAAGGCAGCUUGCCAAGCCAUAACUGACACUGAAGCACGAAAGCGUGGGUAUCAAACAGGAUUAGAUACCCUGGUAGUCCACGCAGUAAACGAUGAUUACUAGGAGUUUGCGAUAUAAUGUAAGCUCUACAGCGAAAGCGUUAAGUAAUCCACCUGGGGAGUACGCCGGCAACGGUGAAACUCAAAGGAAUUGACGGGGGCCCGCACAAGCGGAGGAACAUGUGGUUUAAUUCGAUGAUACGCGAGGAACCUUACCCGGUCUUGACAUCCUACUAACGAGAUAGAGAUAUGUUAGGUGCCCUUCGGGGAAAGUAGAGACAGGUGGUGCAUGGUUGUCGUCAGCUCGUGUCGUGAGAUGUUGGGUUAAGUCCCGCAACGAGCGCAACCCCUACUGCCAGUUACUAACAGGUGAAGCUGAGGACUCUGGCGGAACUGCCGGCGACAAGCCGGAGGAAGGCGGGGAUGACGUCAAAUCAGCACGGCCCUUACAUCCGGGGCGACACACGUGUUACAAUGGCGUGGACAAAGAGCAGCCACUUGGCGACAAGGAGCUAAUCUCCAAACCACGUCUCAGUUCGGAUCGGAGUCUGCAACUCGACUCCGUGAAGCUGGAUUCGCUAGUAAUCGCGCAUCAGCCAUGGCGCGGUGAAUACGUUCCCGGGCCUUGUACACACCGCCCGUCAAGCCAUGGGAGCCGGGGGUACCUGAAGUCCGUAACCGCGAGGAUCGGCCUAGGGUAAAACUGGUGACUGGGGCU